AUGCUUUGACACAAGAAAUUAUGAGAUCAGGGGUGCUGGUUCUGAGGGCUGGUAGGAGGGGAUGGAGGGUAGUAGUAGGGAAUCCAAGUUCUGGGGUCUUCCCAGUUGAAUGCUGGAGGAGGAGGGUUUAGUGAAGGGAUGUAGGGUGUCCAAGUUUUGGGGUCUCCCAAGUUGAAUGCUGGAGGAGGAGGGUUUAGUGAAGGGAUGUAGGGUGUCCAAGUUUUGGGGUCUCCCAAGUUGAAUGCUGGUGGAGGAGGAGGGGUUAGUGAAGGGAUGUAGGGUGUCCAAGUUUUGGGGUCUCCCAAGUUGAAUGCUGGUGGGGGAGGGGGAGACAGGGAAGGUAUGUGUGGUAUCCACGUUCUGGGGUCUCCCCAGUUGAACGCAGGCGGAGGAGGGGGAGGAAGGGAGAGAGGUGGGGUUGGAGGGAAAGGGAAGGGUAGAGAUGGUGGUGUUUUGAAUGGUAAUGGAGGAAAUGGAAGUGAUGGAAAUGGGGGCAAUGGGGAAAAGGGAAAAGGCAAUGUUGGCAGAGGAGGUAGCCGAGGCAGAGGAGGUAGCCGAGGCAGAGGAGGUAGCUGAGGCAGAGGAGGUAGCUGAGGCAGAGGCGGUAGCUGAGGCAGAGGAGGUAGGGGAGGUAAAGAAGGCCAAGGGAAGCCAAAUGGUGGAAAGCAAGGCAGAAAGAAUUUUGCAGAAUUUAAGUCAUUUGGCAAUUCCUGUGUUUGAUCUCCACAAAUUGUGGUGUUCCUCUUGGAUGGUCUGUAGCUCAAAGCAUUCAAGUUGAAG
rnacentral:lncRNA from 1 species